rnacentral:tRNA from 1 species
GGCUCCAUAGUUCAAGGGAUAGAAUGACAGUUUCCGGAACUGUAGAUACUGGUUCGAGUCCAGUUGGAGCUA